rnacentral:misc_RNA from 1 species
UAAAAAUAGGCGGCUUCACAUAUCUCAUAACAUCGUAUAUUGCGAAAGCUUCAGUCUCAUAACCCAAUUUCUCACCACCCUUUGUGGUACCAGUGGAAUUGAUGUAUAGGUAGAUUGGCUUGUCUGCAUCUUCAUAUUGAAGGUAAAGAAACUCGGCUAGGAUCAAUUCUGUCACUGAAGGGACUAGAGACAUGCCCAGGUAUACAAUUCGAUUUUUGUACAGGUAAGAUGCUAGAUCUGGAGGCGGUUGCUCCCAUGCAUUUCCCCUUAAGAAAGGGAUAACCAUGGUGACCACGCCGCGUUUGCCGCCGCGCCCUGGCGGAGUCGGCGCGAGCGAGGGGAUCCAAAUCCUCUGUCCGGAGAAUUCGCCGGAGACGCUCCCGCCGGCGAAGGGAGCAGCGGCGAGGCUGCUACUGAGAGCAGCGGCAGCUCGAGGGGCGGCGGCGGGGCGGGGGGUCAGGGAUCGGUUGGAGAGGUGCUUGGGAGAGGAGGAGAGGAGGCGGUGGUCGAGGGCGAAGCGGGGGGAGGAGAAGGCGACCUCCAUUGCGAGCGGAGAAAGGAGUGGGAGGGGAUAACUCGUUGGAAGAGGUGAUGCGGG